UUUUCGUCGUGUAUCCGCGAGGAGGAAAAGCAGGGCCAGAUUUUCGCUUCAAAACCGUAUAAAAGUAUUCCCAAUCGGGUCCAAAAUAUUACUAUUCGCUGCCGGAGUGUCCACUGUUUCGUUGGCAUUAGUUGGUGCCUCUUAGAACCCGGCGGAUUUAGGAAUAAGUUGCGUUUUCCAUCGGCACGGGUAGCUCAUUGAAAACUUGAAGCAAGAAGAACAAGAAGAUUUGCCUGCGUUUAAAGGUUUCUGUAGUAGUGUGCGUAUAAGAGCGUCUCUGGCCUACUGGAAGGUACGGCAUCAACAGGAAAAUUUCUGUUGCACCGGAAGAUCAGGAAACAUUGAAAUAACGGGGUUUCAGCAAACAGCACUAAAGGAUCCAUUAACAAAUGAUUACAUCGCAGCGUUUUCUAAAAUUUCCUUGGUGAGAAUUAUAUACUUUUGUUGGCUUUGGUUGGCAUUGACGAAAAUUACAAAGAGGUUUACUUCAACUGGAGCGAUAAAAAUCCCUGAUUAGAGAAAUUCGUUUGCAGCGGGUGGCGAAAAUCUUGCCGACGUUGAAAUCUUUCCAGUAAUCAUGUCAUACCCUACAAGGCCUCCGCCGAGCAUCAUCCCGUACGGGAUGGCUACACAAAUGGUUCCGACGAUUAUCCCUGCCGGAAUGCCACCUUCAUUAAGUGCUCCUCCGCCUUCGUCUUACCGAGGGCCGCCACCAUCAAUUGGAUCCCGUCCACACAUGUACAACAACCACCACCAGCAUCAGGAAGGCAAAAUACAUCAUCAAAACAGAGAUCGGGACCGCGGUGGGGGUGUCCAAGUACCGAAUGCGGCCCCUACCAUGGACGGGCCAGUGAUAACGGUUUUCAUCGGAAACAUAAGUGACCGAGCACCGGAUCCGAUGAUAAAAAAGAUUUUAGCUUCCUGUGGAACAGUCAUCAAUUGGAAACGAGUUUCCACGUUCGGUUUCUGCGAAUACGACGGUGCCGUUGCUGGAGCACGAGCUGUUCGACUGCUCCAUGAUCUAGAAAUUGGCAACAAAAAGUUAGUUGCUAAAGUGGACGCUAAAAACAAAGCGCUCCUUGACAACCAUAAGGAAGAGGAAACGAAUGCGGGCAACGGGAAUGACGGAAACGAACAGCGUGGCGAUGACGUUUCUAUGGAUCUGAUAAUGCGCAUCCUGGACGAGUUUCGAGAUGAUCUAGUGAUGCCUGAUCAGCACCAGGAUGAUGGCGGUGUUGCAGGAGGGAACACGGGCAGUGGAUCACUCAAACAUAAAAAGAACAUCCAAUCCACGGAAAUGGAAGAAGGCAAGCGUGAGCUGAUCAGCAAGGAAAUUGGUAAGUUCCGGAAGUACACCGAAGAGGAAGAAUUAAAGAAGGAAAAAGAAAAGGAACGAAAAAAGGCUCGUGAAGAGCGGAAAGCAGAUGAAGAGAAAAGAAGAUCUACGUCACCCAGGAAGGAGAAGGAAAAGGAAAAGAAAUCAAGACGAAGAAGUCGAUCUAGGUCUCGUGAUCGCGAAAGGGAACGUGAACGUGAACGAGAGCGUGAGCGGGAGAGGGAAAGAGAACGAGAAAGGGAACGUGAACGUUUAGAACGUGAAAACAGGGAGCGGGAAGCACGAUUGGAACGUGAACGGGAACGGGAAAGAGAACGUGAGAGAGAACGAGAAAGGGAGCGCGAAUUAUUGAAUCGGAAUCCACGGGACAUCCUUAAAGAGAAGGAAAUGGAAGACGAGGCCCGCGAUCGCCGGAAGACUGAAAAAAAGGCCAAGGAGAAGGAGGCUGCUUAUCAGGAGCGAUUGAGGAACUGGGAAGCUCGUGAAAGACGGAAGGCCAAGGAUUACGAAAAAGAACGAGAAAAGGAGCGUUGUAAGGAGGAAGAACGCGAGAAAGAAGCCAAACGGUUGAAAGAAUUUUUGGAAGAUUAUGACGAUGAACGGGAUGAUCCGAAAUACUACAAGGGCCGAGAAUUACAACGUCGUCUGGCAGAAAGAGUUCGUGAGGCAGACCAGGAUUCCAAAGAUCGCAAUAAGGAACAAGAAGAGUUGGAUGAGCUAAAAAAUAAAAUAUUUUCUGGUGAUUACGACAACCCUACUUUGGAAUAUGAAAAGGAAAAGAAAAAACGCGAAGAAAUGUAUCGGCCCAAGAUUCUCAUCGAUGUCAAUCUGGAACAAUCCCAACAACGCGAAAGGGAGCUGGAAAGAGAACGACAGCGUGAGCUUGAACGCCAACGUGAUCGAGAUCGAUUGCGAGCUAACAAAGAGCGAUACGUUAUGGCCCAAGCCUCGCGGGAGCUAGCCGCCAUCGAUGCCGAACCUAUUGAGUCCGAUUCGAGCGGACAUAAUGACAACGAUUUCGGAUCUCCCCCGCCAGGUCUCACCAAUGUCAACAACAAUCACCACCACCAUGGUCAAUUUCCGCCACAGCAUGCAGGUUCGGAAACACGCGAUUCUUUCGGUUUUUCUUCUGGUCAUAUGCCAAUGAUGGGGGCGGGGCUUGGUGAAGAAGACAAUUCGCACCAAUCCAUGCAUUCGAAUUCAAUGGCCAUACAUAGUCCUGGUGCGAAUAGUAACAGUGAAAUGAAUUCUAUACCGGAAAAACUUCAACCCAUAGCGCCCACCAUCAGUUUGAGUUUGAAUGCAAAUGCUAAAAAGAAAAAACUAGAGAUGAAGGACGUUUUCAACAGUUUAGAGGAAGAUGGUGAAGAAUCCAAUGGGCCUAAGAAACGAAAACUAGUUCCAUUAGAUGACGAGAACAAAAUUCAAAAUGCAUCUUCGUCCGCUGGACAUGGUAACCAUCACUCAAAGAGUUCUAAAAGUCGAGGCGGCGGCGAAGAAGGCAGUGGACGAUCUGGACGUGAGGCCGUUAAGUCACAGGAGGAAAAACGGCGACAUAUCAAGAGUAUUAUCGACAAAAUUCCCACUGAAAAAGCCGAUCUGUUCAACUAUCCGCUUGAUUGGGCCGAAAUCGAUAGCACUAUCGAGAAGAAAAUUAGGCCUUGGAUCAAUAAGAAAAUUAUUGAAUAUAUCGGUGAACCGGAACCAACGCUAGUAGACUUCAUAUGCUCUAAAGUGCUGGCUGGCAGCACGCCUCAGGGAAUUUUGGACGAUGUUCAAAUGGUGUUGGACGAAGAAGCGGAAGUAUUCGUAGUGAAAAUGUGGCGUUUACUCAUCUACGAAGUCGAAGCCAAGAAAGUUGGCUUGACAAAGUAGAUGUCGAACAAUUGCUUCCCUCUCCACGACUUCCGUUUCAGCAGCCGUGAUACAGCGCAAUCGCAAUCCUGGUACAGGUAACUCUUGUUCUUGUUUUUUUCGUUUGCCGCGUCUAUUUUUCUUCUCAUUAUUUUGGAAAUGCGAAUAUCUGUUUCCGGUUGUUUAGAAACGUCGAGAAGAUCAACAAGUCUUUGAAGUUUUGUCAAAAAAAACUACUCUAUGGUAAGGCGUACUUUUAGAGCAUAGGGAAACUCUUAUAAAAUACAAUAUGAAAAAUCGUAAAUUUUAACAUAAGUUAGUUGCUGGCAAAGCUAAGCCGAGAAUCAGAGAUUGAAGCACAUUUAGAAGUGUAGGAUUGAUCAACCGUAAUUUUCAAUUAGAUAAAAUAAAAAUCAAAUAAAAAAACGAACAUAACUAAAUCGAUGACAUCAUAAGAUUUAUUUAAACAAAAUUUCACAUACAGGCAUUGAUGAACUCUGAACGCGCAGAAUCGAUUUAUCUGCCUAGACACUUCUGGAUGAAAUGAACGUGUUGCGUCAGGAUCACAACCAGUCGCAUUCAUCUAACAAUCCGAUCGCUGACAAGAGACAAUGAAUGAUUUAUGUUACUUUACUCUUCCGGUGCAUCUCGACCGCCCCCGCUACCUGACACAACAUAAUACUCGGCAGCAGAAAUUUCCAAGGUUCCGAUCCGGUCGUGUCUUCGUCACUGAAACUACGAGGUGCUUCCAUUUAUUCGGACUCAGAAGCUUGUCUUGCUGAUUUUUUAACGAUCGGAAUUUCGUUGACCUUCAUCCAAACCAACCGUCGACCGUUUCCUGUUUGAUGUUGCGUUGGAGUUCCAGGGAAGUUACUUCGAUUAUGGAUCAUACAAACGAGUCGACCAAGAAAGAAAAUGAUAAAGCGCAAGGGAACAAGGUGUAGGAGCAUCCUGUAGAGUGAGUAUAAUGUCGAGUUUAAUUCAAUGCGAAUGAUAUUUCAGCUGUGUUUAUGUGCAAAAGUAAGGAUUAUGUGAAA